GGAAGCUCUGUACCAUACCCAGCAUCUAGCUUUUAUCCCAUGGGGCAGGUUACCCCUGUUAAUGGUGGGAUAACAGCUGGAGUUAAUAAACCUCAAGCGGGAGCUCCAGUUUCAUCAGGGAAUUCAUCACAAUCUGGAAAGGAAUAUGAUUUCUCAUCUUUAACACAAGGCAUGUUCUCAAAGCACUGAAUUUCCCGGGGGACAAUGAUGGCCUUUUGAUACCAAUACCAAGAUAGUUGUAUUACAGGAAAAUAGAUCCUGAAAAGUUUUGUCCUCCUGUAUUGGCGAUUGUAAACUAUUUUGUAGAGGCA
rnacentral:misc_RNA from 1 species